rnacentral:tmRNA from 1 species
GGGGAUGACAGGCUUCGACGGGGAAGGCUGGCCAGGAGGCUGCAAGCCGGGGCGGCGCUCCCACCCCGUGAUCAAGGAGCGCGAUCUGAAAGUGCCAACCGCACGGACUUUGCGGCUCUCCCCCUCGCCGCCUAAGGGUGGUCUGAUGAGGGAGGCCUGACCGCCAGAGCGCGCGGUCGCGUCCGCCCCGUCCCCUCGCCGACGGGAUGGGAGCCGGGCGUCAUAAAAGUCGGCGUGCCCCAUCGCCGACGCCGAUAGGCGGUGGGUAAGCUCCAUCGGCUGGCCGGCGGUGGACCCUGUCGGUCGGGGACACGCCGGUGAGACCCAAAAGACCGACUAAGCUUGUAGAGGCCUCCGGUCGAAUUCUCCGGACGCGGGUUCGAUUCCCGCCAUCUCCACCU